GGUCAGCUAAACAAGCUAUUGGGCCCAUACCCCGAAAAUGAUGGUUCAACUCCUUCCCUUACUAAUGAAUCCUCAAGCUAAAUUAAUUUCCACAACAAGUCUACUCCUAGGAACAUCCAUUACAAUUUCAAGUAAUCACUGAGCAAUAGCAUGAGUCGGCCUAGAAAUCAACACUUUAGCGGUUCUUCCUCUAAUCUCAAAAAGCCAUCACCCACGAGCCGUUGAAGCCUCCACUAAAUAUUUCCUCACCCAAGCAGCUGCAUCUACACUACUACUAUUCUCUAGUAUAACCAAUGCAUGAUUCUCAGGCCAGUGGGACAUCUCCCAACUAACUCACCCUGUAUCAUGCAUACUAUUAACUAUUGCAAUUUCAAUUAAACUAGGCCUAGUCCCAUUCCACUUCUGAUUUCCAGAAGUCCUUCAAGGCUCAACCCUAACAACAUGUCUUCUACUAGCUACAGUAAUAAAAUUCCCCCCAAUCACCUUAUUCUACCUUACAUCCUCUUCACUUAACCCAGCCCUAUUAUCUUCGAUAGCUAUCGCCUCCGCAGCCCUAGGUGGCUGAAUAGGACUGAACCAAACCCAAACCCGCAAAGUCCUAGCCUUCUCAUCAAUUGCCCAUCUAGGAUGAAUAGCCAUUAUUCUUAUUUACAACCCCAAUCUCACUCUAAUUACUUUCUUCCUAUACACCAUAACAACUUCCGCCAUUUUCUUCAUUCUUAACACAACUAAUACCCUAAAACUAUCUACCAUUAUAGCAGCAUGAACUAAAAUCCCCUCACUAAGCACAAUCUUCAUACUCGCACUCCUCUCCCUCGCAGGUCUUCCUCCCCUGACAGGAUUCUUACCCAAAUGACUCAUCAUUCAAGAACUAACCAAACAAGAACUAACCCUAGCAGCUACAAUUAUUGCCCUUCUCUCCUUACUCGGACUUUUCUUCUACCUUCGCCUUGCCUACUGUGCAACCAUUACAUUACCCCCAAACUUCACAAACUACAUAAAACAAUGGCAAUCUAACAAAUCUACUAACACUUUAACUACAACCUUAACCACCUUAUCAAUUAUACUACUGCCACUGUCCCCUACAAUACUCGCAAUCUCUUAGAAACUUAGGUUAGUUUAAACCGAAGGCCUUCAAAGCCU